GAUGAACGCUGGCGGCGUGCCUAAUACAUGCAAGUCGAGCGAACGGACGAGAAGCUUGCUUUUCUGAUGUUAGCGGCGGACGGGUGAGUAACACGUGGAUAACCUACCUAUAAGACUGGGAUAACUUCGGGAAACCGGAGCUAAUACCGGAUAAUAUUUUGAACCGCAUGGUUCAAAAGUGAAAGACGGUCUUGCUGUCACUUAUAGAUGGAUCCGCGCUGCAUUAGCUAGUUGGUAAGGUAACGGCUUACCAAGGCAACGAUGCAUAGCCGACCUGAGAGGGGGAUCGGCCACACUGGAACUGAGACACGGUCCAGACUCCUACGGGAGGCAGCAGUAGGGAAUCUUCCGCAAUGGGCGAAAGCCUGACGGAGCAACGCCGCGUGAGUGAUGAAGGUCUUCGGAUCGUAAAACCCUGUUAUUAGGGAAGAACAUAUGUGUAAGUAACUGUGCACAUCUUGACGGUACCUAAUCAGAAAGCCACGGCUAACUACGUG
rnacentral:rRNA from 1 species